GGAUCCGCGCCGCUGCAGAGUUUGAUCCUGGCUCAGGACGAACGCUGGCGGCGUGCCUAACACAUGCAAGUCGAACGGAGUUACGGGAGCUUGCUCCUGUAACUUAGUGGCGGACGGGUGAGUAACGCGUGAGCAACCUGCCUUACAGAGGGGGAUAGCCAUUGGAAACGAUGGAUAAUACCGCAUAACGUACAGUCAUGGCAUCUUGAUUGUACCAAAGGAGCAAUCCGCUGUAAGAUGGGCUCGCGUCCGAUUAGAUAGAUGGUGAGGUAACGGCCCACCAUGUCGACGAUCGGUAGCCGGACUGAGAGGUUGAACGGCCACAUUGGGACUGAGACACGGCCCAGACUCCUACGGGAGGCAGCAGUGAGGGAUAUUGCACAAUGGGCGAAAGCCUGAUGCAGCAACGCCGCGUGAGGGAUGACGGUUUUCGGAUUGUAAACCUCUGUCUUCGGUGAUGAUAAUGACAUUAGCCGAGGAGGAAGCCACGGCUAACUACGUGCCAGCAGCCGCGGUAAUACGUAGGUGGCAAGCGUUGUCCGGAUUUACUGGGUAUAAAGGGAGCGCAGGCGGGAUAGCAAGUCAGCGGUGAAAUGUAUGGGCUUAACCCAUGAACUGCCGUUGAAACUGUUAUUCUUGAGUGAAGUAGAGGCAAGCGGAAUUCCGAGUGUAGCGGUGAAAUGCGUAGAUAUUCGGAGGAACACCAGUGGCGAAGGCGGCUUGCUGGGCUUUUACUGACGCUGAGGCUCGAAAGUGUGGGGAGCAAACAGGAUUAGAUACCCUGGUAGUCCACACUGUAAACGAUGAUUACUAGGUGUGGGGGGUCUGACCCCUUCCGUGCCGCAGCUAACGCAAUAAGUAAUCCACCUGGGGAGUACGGCCGCAAGGCUGAAACUCAAAGGAAUUGACGGGGGCCCGCACAAGCAGUGGAUUAUGUGGUUUAAUUCGACGCAACGCGAAGAACCUUACCAGGUCUUGACAUCGAGUGACGAGUUCAGAGAUGAGCUUUUCCUUCGGGACACGAAGACAGGUGGUGCAUGGUUGUCGUCAGCUCGUGUCGUGAGAUGUUGGGUUAAGUCCCGCAACGAGCGCAACCCCUGCCAUUAGUUGCUACGCAAGAGCACUCUAAUGGGACCGCUACCGACAAGGUGGAGGAAGGUGGGGACGACGUCAAAUCAUCAUGCCCCUUAUGACCUGGGCUACACACGUAAUACAAUGGCCGUAAACAACGGGAAGCGACCUCGCGAGAGUGAGCAAAUCCCCAAAAGCGGUCUCAGUUCGGAUCGCAGGCUGCAACCCGCCUGCGUGAAGUUGGAAUUGCUAGUAAUCG
rnacentral:rRNA from 1 species